CGAUAAGUCACCCAUGGUCUGGGGCUUGGCCUGAUCAAAAGGUAAAACAGACAACCUGAGGAAAAUGAGAUAUUCUAGGAGGAAGAUAUUGCGAUAGCUGAUUGGUCAUCCGGAGAUGGGAAAAUCUUGAUUCAUGGGAGUCGGUCUGCAGGAGCACAGAGAAAGAAUACCAACAAGAGUACGACAGUUAGUCUUAGAAGUCUUGACCUUGCAUGGAUCAAGAAUGGUGUUCUCUAACCAGAGGUGGAAAAACACGUUUCUAAGAUUUAUUCACCAAUACUGUUAUUUCUCAGAGUUCUUCUAAAUCUUCUACCUAGAAAUAUGCAAAGUGAAGACAAUAACUAGUUACCUAAAUAAUGUCACCAUGGACUUCUAAGGAAUGCCUUGAAGAGGACACCCAACCCUAAGAAGCAGUGAUUUGAGAGUUUGAAUUAGAAAUUGUUUAGACUGGGCUAUAGACAGCUUUAAUAAAGUCAAAUUAUUUGCAUGCAAUUAGGUGAUUUCCAUUUCUUUUUCUGGAUAUCUGAAAAGUGAUAUACCUGCUCAGAUUUUUGUAUUUCCAAGAGUUCCAACGUUUCUGGCCUCUGCAAGAAGAUAGCACCAGAAGAGCAUGUCAAUAAAGUAUUAUUAAAUGAAAAGAUAAUCAUACUUAAUUCUCUAUUUUAAAAAAGCAUGUUUAUGUAUGUCUUCCACUGUUCUUUUUCAUGUCAUAAAUCGUUACUAUUGAAUAGUUGUAAUGUUCAGAAGUAGACAGAAUACCAUGAUGAACCCUCUUGCACGCAUCACCCACACACAUUAUUAAUGCCUUACCUGUCUUCUUUCAUAUACAUCUCUAACAACUCACCUCUCUUUACUUUGAAGUAGAACUCAGAAAUCAUUUCAUUUUAUCCUUAUAUAUAUCAGCAUGUUCUAGAAUUCAUUUGUAAUUCAAGAAAAGAGCAAUAAUAUAAUUCCAGCAAUAAAAGUCUCUUUAAAAAAUCCCGUCUUUUGAAAACAAAAUAUCUCUCUGUUAAAAAUAAUUAUUCACUAUUUUUAAUAGAAUGUCUUCUCAAAAAUGAUUUCUAUGUAUCUGAUUUUUUUUGGUGGGGAGGGGAGGGAUUCCCUGGAAAGGAUUUUGCAAACGCAAGUUUGCUCCUGAUACAAAGUAGUAUGGUCCAUUAUUUUUUUAAAUUGUAAAUGGUGACUGAUCAAUAUUUAAAUCAUGUUCCAAGAUCAGUAGCUCUGUGGUAUGGGGCUGGCACAGGGCACUCUUAAAUCCUUUAAUGAAAAACACAACUUUAUUUGAAAUAAAGGAAUUUGAUAUGUUUCUUUUCCAUUAUG
rnacentral:lncRNA from 1 species